rnacentral:rRNA from 1 species
GAUGAACGCUGGCGGCGUGCCUAAUACAUGCAAGUCGAGCGAACGGACGAGAAGCUUGCUUCUCUGAUGUUAGCGGCGGACGGGUGAGUAACACGUGGAUAACCUACCUAUAAGACUGGGAUAACUUCGGGAAACCGGAGCUAAUACCGGAUAAUAUUUUGAACCGCAUGGUUCAAAAGUGAAAGACGGUCUUGCUGUCACUUAUAGAUGGAUCCGCGCUGCAUUAGCUAGUUGGUAAGGUAACGGCUUACCAAGGCAACGAUGCAUAGCCGACCUGAGAGGGUGAUCGGCCACCCUGGAACUGAGACACGGUCCAGACUCCUACGGGAGGCAGCAGUAGGGAAUCUUCCGCAAUGGGCGAAAGCCUGACGGAGCAACGCCGCGUGAGUGAUGAAGGUCUUCGGAUCGUAAAACCCUGUUAUUAGGGAAGAACAUAUGUGUAAGUAACUGUGCACAUCUUGACGGUACCUAAUCAGAAAGCCACGGCUAACUACGUG